AGCGAACGCUGGCGGGAGGAAGAACAAAGGAAAGUCGAAAGAAAGGUGCGGGGUUAGGGGCGGACGGGGGAGUAACACGUGGGAACGGGCCUUGAGGUUCGGAAAAACUCAGGGAAACUUGGGCUAAGACCGAAUGUGCCCUUCGGGGGAAAGAUUAAUCGCCGGUAGAGCGGCCCGCGUCUGAUUCGCUAGUUGGUUGAGGUAAUGGCUCACCAAGGCGACUAUCAGUAGCUGGUCUGAGAGGAUGAUCAGCCACAGUGGGACUGAGACACGGCCCAAACUCCUACGGGAGGCAGCAGUGGGGGAUCUUGCGCAAUGGGCGAAAGCCUGCCGCAGCCAUGCCGCGUGCCUUCUUCCGGUCUUAGGAUUGUAAAAUUCUUUCCCCGCGGACGAUAAUGACGGUACCCGGAGACGAAGCCCCCUCUCCCUUCGUG
rnacentral:rRNA from 1 species